ACGGUCCUAAGGUAGCGAAAUUCCUUGUCGGGUAAGUUCCGACCUGCACGAAUGGUGUAACCAUGGCCAUGCUGUCUCCACCCGAGACUCAGUGAAAUCGAAUUCGCCGUGAAGAUGCGGUGUACCCGCGGCUAGACGGAAAGACCCCGUGAACCUUUACUACAGCUUGGCACUGAACAUUGAACCUACAUGUGUAGGAUAGGUGGGAGGCUUUGAAGGCGUGACGCCAGUUGCGCUGGAGCCGUCCUUGAAAUACCACCCUUGUAUGUUUGAUGUUCUAACGCAGGGCCCUGAAUCGGGCUCGCGGACAGUGCCUGGUGGGUAGUUUGACUGGGGCGGUCUCCUCCCAAAGAGUAACGGAGGAGCACGAAGGUUGGCUAAUCCUGGUCGGACAUCAGGAGGUUAGUGCAAUGGCAUAAGCCAGCUUGACUGCGAGCGUGACGGCGCGAGCAGGUGCGAAAGCAGGUCAUAGUGAUCCGGUGGUUCUGAAUGGAAGGGCCAUCGCUCAACGGAUAAAAGGUACUCCGGGGAUAACAGGCUGAUACCGCCCAAGAGUUCAUAUCGACGGCGGUGUUUGGCACCUCGAUGUCGGCUCAUCACAUCCUGGGGCUGAAGUCGGUCCCAAGGGUAUGGCUGUUCGCCAUUUAAAGUGGUACGCGAGCUGGGUUCAGAACGUCGUGAGACAGUUCGGUCCCUAUCUGCCGUGGGCGUUGGAUGAUUGAAGGGAGUUGCUCCUAGUACGAGAGGACCGGAGUGAACGAACCUCUGGUGUUCGGGUUGUCACGCCAGUGGCACUGCCCGGUAGCUAAGUUCGGAAUCGAUAACCGCUGAAAGCAUCUAAGCGGGAAGCGAGCCCUGAGAUGAGUCAUCCCUGACCCCUUGAGGGUCCUAAAGGGCCGUUGGAGACCACAACGUUGAUAGGUGGGGUGUGUAAGCGCGGCGACGUGUUGAGCUAACCCAUACUAAUUACCCGUGAGGCUUAACCAU
rnacentral:rRNA from 1 species